CAUUGACAACAGCUUUGGAGUGUGGAUACUCAUUGGAAAAUAUAUAUAUAUAUAUAUAUAUAUAUAAUUUUUUUAGGCCAUGCAAGGAAUUUAAAUGCCACAUGUGUUACUUACAAUUUAAUAUCAUUGUUAUUAAAAUAAAUAUACUUACCUUAACAAACAUUUUUUGUUAUUGGUAGAACAAACUGGAGUUUAAUCUCCAAAAAAAAAAUAAAAAAAAUAGCAUUAAUCAAACUACAUUUAUAUUCUGUUUCAACUCGAGUUCAUGAAUAGUAGCUACUUACUAGUAAAAACUGAGGCAAUUAGUUGUGCUCUAACUCGCCUUCCAGCCUCUGUAGUAUCAUCCUCUAUGGCUGUUGGUGUGGCAAUUCUGCAACCUCCAUUGGUAUUUGAUGUUUAAAUGCAAUGUAGUGCAGUAUGGAACACACUAUAUAAUCAUCUUGCCAACUUUUUUAGUGUCAUACAGUAACCACCCUCCCGACUUGUCCAGGCACCUGAAUCUGGACUUCAGGACGCCAAAUGUCCAUUCAAUAACACAGCGGGUUUUUCUGUGUGCAAAGUUGUACUGCAUCUCUGCCUGGUUUGCUGGAUUUAACCGGGGGGUCAGUAUCCAUGGCUGACACCCAUAUCCCGCAUCCCCUGAAAAACACACCAGGAAGAGGCAGAGCAGCAGGAGGCUACGUAGGAGGAGGGCCAACUACCCCCAAAAUGUGCCUCAACAGGGACAGCUGGUGGAUGCAGAGCUGUCGGAGGGAGAGGGAGAGGGACAGUCACCGGCCGUGGAGGGAGAGGAGAUUAUUGUGGGAGAAGAUGUAUGUGAGGAUGAGGUGUCACCCCAAAUGAGCCCCCCAAUUGAAGAGCCACAAGGAGGUCCAUCCACGCGAGACGAGAGAGUAGAGGGGAGCAGGCCGGGACCAAGCCAGGAGUCCAUCCUUCCAGAAGUGUUGCAGCUGCUGGACACCCUGGAGAAACGGAUGGACCUCCUGGAACAGGCAGUUCGAGCAGAUUUUUUUUUUAAAAAAAAAAGUAAAAAUUUUAAGUCAGUUUUUGGAAAUUAAAAGUGUUUUUCUUAUUGAAAAUGGUCUGUUCUUGAUUGGGAAAAUUUAUGUUGAUGCUAAAUAUAUGUUGUCACUUGUCAAGAAUGUACAUCAUAGGAUAUUGUUGGAAUGCGUAGGCCUUAAACAUUGAUAAACAUAAACAGCAAUACUUUACAUUAAAGUGGUUGUUCCCCUUUAAAUGAACUGUAGUAUGAUGUAGAGAGUGAUAUCCUGAGACAAUUUGCAGUUGUUUCUCAUUUUGUAGGAUUUGUGGUGUUUCAUGUAUUUACCUUUUUAUUCAGCAGCUCUUCACUUUGCA